UGAGUCUACCAUACCACCCUAAAGUGCCUGAUCUUGUCUGGUUUUGGAAGCUAAGUAAGGUCAGAUGUGGUUAGUACUUGUAUGGGAGACUUAUUGGAGAACUGGGUGCUAUAGGCUUUU
rnacentral:rRNA from 1 species